GUGAAUUACCAGGGGUGAGUUUAAUUAUGGGGUUUCAUACUUUGACAAGUUGUUGUUUCCCUUGUGUAGUUGGAGCUUGUGUGUUAUCAAUGCACUACUUUCUCCUUCAUUUGAGUCUUCCACUUAGCCCUGCAAAUGCAAUGAAACUCGGGAUCAUUCACCAUUUCCAUCUUAUAUGAAACACAAUAAAGAAUAAAUACAACAUCAACGUUUUAGUUUAUCAUACCUUCUGAUCAGAUACAUGGUUUCUGCCUUUCUGCACUGAUCCUUUAUUCUUCUACCUGAAUGUUCACCCUAGACGCUACACCCUGGCAACUAGUACAUAAAUUACCCUUAACCCCAAUACCUGCCCAGUAAGUUACAAAAGCAGGUCAGCAGUUAGAAGACCAACAUAGUAAGCAGGAAGCACAGAGUAGCGAAGAGUAAAAGACCCUCUAAGGAAACGUACAGACUACAGAAAAAUAAUACCAUGAAUACGAAAAAUGAGAAGUGGCAGAGGUGAAUUACCAGGGAUGAGUUGAAUUUUGGGGUUUCAUACGUUGACAAGUUGUUGUUUCCCUUGUGCAGUUGGAGCUUGUGUGUUAUCAAUGCACUACUUUCUCCUUCAUUUGAGUCUUCCACUUAGCCCUGCAAAUGCAAUGAAACUCGGGAUCAUCCACCAUUUCCAUCUUAUAUGAAACACAAUAAAGAAUAAAUACAACAUCAACGUUUUAGUUUAUCAUACCUUCUGAUCAGAUACAUGGUUUCUGCCUUUCUGCACUGAUCCUUUAUUCUUCUACCUGAAUGUUCACCCUAGACGCUACACCCUGGCAACUAGUACAUAAAUUACCCUUAACCCCAAUACCUGCCCAGUAAGUUACAAAAGCAGGUCAGCAGUUAGAAGACCAACAUAGUAAGGAGGAAGCACACAGUAGCGAAGAGUAAAAGACCUACAAACUACAACGGAAAAAAUACCAUCAGAAGAAUAGGAAGAAUGACAAGUGGCAGAGGUGAAUUACCAGGGACGAGUUUGAUUUUGGGACUUCCAUAGCUUUGACAAGAUGAUGUUUCCCCUAUAAAGUUGCAGCUUGUGUGUUAUCAAUGCAUGCACCACUAUCAUCUGCAACAUGUCCACAAGUAUUGAAGAGAAGGACGGGGGAAACAGGAAAGAUAUCACUGAAAUUCUUAUGAAGACCAACAUAGUAAGGAGGAAGCACACAGUAGCGAAGAGUAAAAGACCUACAAACUACAACGGAAAAAAUACCAUCAGAAGAAUAGGAAGAAUGACAAGUGGCAGAGGUGAAUUACCAGGGACGAGUUUGAUUUUGGGACUUCCAUAGCUUUGACAAGAUGAUGUUUCCCCUAUAAAGUUGCAGCUUGUGUGUUAUCAAUGCAUGCACCACUAUCAUCUGCAACAUGUCCACAAGUAUUGAAGAGAAGGACGGGGGAAACAGGAAAGAUAUCACUGAAAUUCUUAUGAAGACCAACAUAGUAAGGAGGAAGCACACAGUAGCGAAGAGUAAAAGACCUACAAACUACAACGGAAAAAAUACCAUCAGAAGAAUAGGAAGAAUGACAAGUGGCAGAGGUGAAUUACCAGGGAUGAGUUGAAUUUUGGGGUUUCAUACGUUGACAAGUUGUUGUUUCCCUUGUGCAGUUGGAGCUUGUGUGUUAUCAAUGCACUACUUUCUCCUUCAUUUGAGUCUUCCACUUAGCCCUGCAAAUGCAAUGAAACUCGGGAUCAUCCACCAUUUCCAUCUUAUAUGAAACACAAUAAAGAAUAAAUACAACAUCAACGUUUUAGUUUAUCAUACCUUCUGAUCAGAUACAUGGUUUCUGCCUUUCUGCACUGAUCCUUUAUUCUUCUACCUGAAUGUUCACCCUAGACGCUACACCCUGGCAACUAGUACAUAAAUUACCCUUAACCCCAAUACCUGCCCAGUAAGUUACAAAAGCAGGUCAGCAGUUAGAAGACCAACAUAGUAAGCAGGAAGCACAGAGUAGCGAAGAGUAAAAGACCCUCUAAGGAAACGUACAGACUACAGAAAAAUAAUACCAUGAAUACG
rnacentral:lncRNA from 1 species